CCAGUGGACCCAAUGGGGCUACUCUAACUAGGACUAGAACAAGAUUCAGGCCUUGGGUUGGAUCUACAUUGUUAUAUGAUGCUGCUGUGGAAGUGCAUUAUGUAGUCAGUGUAAACCCAUAUAAUGCAGUUGUUGACAUGUAAUGAUUUGUUAGACACCUUGAGUCCCUAUGGAGAGAAAGGCAGGAUAGAACUGAAGAUGGUGAUAACAACAGCAGCAGCAACAACAACAACAACAACAACAAAUAAAAGUAAAACAAGCAGUCAAAGAAGAAGAACAUGCCCUGGCAGAAUAUGUAAAGCAAAGUGAAGAACUUGCUUUGAUUGAAGUCAAAAAUCAGAAACUCCUCAAAGCACAGCAGACAAAGAAUCAGUACAAGAAAACCGCACUACAAACUAGAGCUGACAGCUGGCACAACAAAACAUUGCAUGGAAAGUUCCUUGACAAAAUUGAAGGAAAAGCUGAUAAGACUGGCUCUGUCUCACGAAUGGGACCCUGAAGAAGGAGACAGAAUGCCUGAUCCUUGCAGCCCAGGAGCAAGCCAUCAGGACAAAGGCAAUUCAAGCCAAGAUCGAAAAAUCAGCUGAUGACCCAAAAUGCAGAAUGUGCAAGGAAGCUGACGAAACCAUUGACCAUCUCCUCAGCUGCUGUAAGAAAAUCGCACAGACAGACUACAAACAGAGGCACAACUAUGUGGCCCAAAUGAUCCGUUGGAACUUAUGCCUCAAGUACCACCUCCCAGCAGUAAAGAGCUGGUGGGAUCACAAACCAGCAAAGAUAAUGGAAAAUGAGCACGCAAAGAUACUGUGGGACUUCCGAAUCCAGACUGACAAAGUUCUGGAACACAACUGUGAUGUCUGGUGUGUUGUGUUCCAGAACUUUGUCAGUCUGGAUUCGGAAGUCCCACAGUAUCUUUGCGUGCUCAUUUUCUAAUACUUUUGCAGGUUUGUGAUCCCACCAGUUAUAUUAUUAUUAUUAUUAUUAUUAUUAUUAUUAUUAUUAUUAUUAUUAUUAUUAUUAUUCUA
rnacentral:lncRNA from 1 species